rnacentral:rRNA from 1 species
GAUGAACGCUGGCGGCGUGCCUAAUACAUGCAAGUCGAGCGAACAGACGAGGAGCUUGCUCCUCUGACGUUAGCGGCGGACGGGUGAGUAACACGUGGAUAACCUACCUAUAAGACUGGGAUAACUUCGGGAAACCGGAGCUAAUACCGGAUAAUAUAUUGAACCGCAUGGUUCAAUAGUGAAAGACGGUUUUGCUGUCACUUAUAGAUGGAUCCGCGCCGCAUUAGCUAGUUGGUAAGGUAACGGCUUACCAAGGCAACGAUGCGUAGCCAACCUGAGAGGGUGAUCGGCCACACUGGAACUGAGACACGGUCCAGACUCCUACGGGAGGCAGCAGUAGGGAAUCUUCCGCAAUGGGCGAAAGCCUGACGGAGCAACGCCGCGUGAGUGAUGAAGGUCUUCGGAUCGUAAAACUCUGUUAUUAGGGAAGAACAAAUGUGUAAGUAACUAUGCACGUCUUGACGGUACCUAAUCAGAAAGCCACGGCUAACUAUGUG